GACAGAGGAUGCAAGCGUUAUCCGGAAUGAUUGGGCGUAAAGCGUCUGUAGGUGGCUUUUCAAGUCCGCCGUCAAAUCCCAGGGCUCAACCCUGGACAGGCGGUGGAAACUACCAAGCUGGAGUACGGUAGGGGCAGAGGGAAUUUCCGGUGGAGCGGUGAAAUGCGCAGAUAUCAGGAGGAACACCGGUGGCGAAGGCGGAUCUCUGGGCCAUUACUGACGCUGAGGAGCGAAAGCGUGGGGAGCGAACAGG
rnacentral:rRNA from 1 species